UUGCUGCAGUAGCAGAUAUACUAAAAUUAGAACGAUACACAGAAGGUUAGCAUGGCCCUUGCACAAAGAAAAAGAAGAUAACAGGACCCUGGAAAUCAAUAU